rnacentral:tRNA from 1 species
GAUAAAAUAAGCUAAGGGGUAAGCUGUUGGGUUCAUACCCCAAAUAUGAGUUUUUUGUCUCUUUUGUCU